GACGAACGCUGGCGGCGUGCUUAACACAUGCAAGUCGAACGGAAAGGCCUUUUCGGAGGUACUCGAGUGGCGAACGGGUGCGUAACACGUGGGUGAUCUGCCCUGCACUCUGGGAUAAGCCUGGGAAACUGGGUCUAAUACCGGAUAGGACCGCACUUUAGUGUGUGUGGUGGAAAGUUUUUUCGGUGUAGGAUGAGCCCGCGGCCUAUCAGCUUGUUGGUGGGGUAAUGGCCUACCAAGGCGGCGACGGGUAGCCGGACUGAGAGGUUGGUCGGCCACAUUGGGACUGAGAUACGGCCCAGACUCCUACGGGAGGCAGAAGUGGGGAAUAUUGCACAAUGGGCGCAAGCCUGAUGCAGCGACGCCGCGUGGGGGAUGACGGCCUUCGGGUUGUAAACUCCUUUCGCCAGGGACGAAGCGUUUUGUGACGGUACCUGGAGAAGAAGCACCGGCUAACUACGUG
rnacentral:rRNA from 1 species